GGCAGUUGUAGCUCAGUGGUUAAGAUGUUGGGUUUCUGAUCAGAAGGUUAUGAGUUCGAACCCCAACACCGCCA